UUCUAUGACCACCCUGAAUGCGUCCAAUCUUGUUAGACCUUGGAAGUUAAGCAGGGAUGGGACUGGUUAGUACUUGGAUGGGAUAUGGCAAUCCGUGAAUGAUUUUAUUUUCUGUAUAAC
rnacentral:rRNA from 1 species